rnacentral:rRNA from 1 species
AAAAGCUCGUAGUUGGAUCUCAGUUCCAGACGGGCGGUCCGCCUAACGGUGGUUACUGCCUGGCCUGAACAGCCAGCCGGUUUCCCUCGAUGAUCUUCACCGGUUGUCCCGGGUGACCGGCACGUUUACUUUGAAAAAAUUAGAGUGCUCAAAGCAGGCGCGUAGCCUGGAUAAUGGUGCAUGGAAUAAUGGAAUAGGACUUCGUUUCUAUUUUGUUGGUUUUCGGAACACGAGGUAAUGAUUAAGAGGGACAGACGGGGGCAUUCGUAUUGCGACGCUAGAGGUGAAAUUCUUGGACCGUCGCAAGACGAACUACUGCGAAAGCAUUUGCCAAGAAUGUUUUCAUUAAUCAAGAACGAAAGUUAGAGGUUCGAAGGCGAUCAGAUACCGCCCUAGUUCUAACCAUAAACGAUGCCAACCAGCGAUCCGCCUGAGUUCCUCAAAUGACUCGGCGGGCAGCUUACGGGAAACCAAAGUGUUUGGGUUCCGGGGGAAGUAUGGUUGCAAAGCUGAAACUUAAAGGAAUUGACGGAAGGGCACUACCAGAUGUGGAGCCUGCGGUUUAAUUUGACUCAACACGGGGCAACUUACCCGGCCCGGACACUGGAAGGAUUGACAGAUUAAGAGCUCUUUCUUGAUUCAGUGGGUGGUGGUGCAUGGCC